UAUAAAACUGAAGCUCAUGAAGAUGAAACAACCUUACUGAGUGGUCCCAACUAAUGUGAAUAUCUGACACAGACCUGUUUACUUCCCCUUUGCCUUCCACCAUGGUUGUAAAAUUCUUGAGGACUCCCAGCCAUGCUUCCUGUACAGCCUGCAAAACUAUUUGUCUUCCCCGCAAAAUGCCUUGGGAACAGUCUUCAUGUUAUCAUUUGCAAAAUGCUGACUCACAGGAGAUAUUGAAUAUGUGUUUGUUGACUGGCUAUGAAAUGGAAAUGUAUUGUUUUCUCUAUUAUGAAGAGAAAGUGAGGCAGAGCAAGCAGUUGGAGUAGAAUGAUAUUUAUGUGAGAAAGAAAUAUGUCCACAAGGAAGUGAUCAACAAUCCUACAUGCUGCAAAGUGAUUAAGGAGAAUAAAGAUCAAGAGGAUGUAGAAGCCUGAUUAUAACUGGAAAGAAAGUUAAUACAUCCUGAGGACAGCAGUAGGUGUAAACAACAAAUUCAUACAUUUUGUAGAAAACAGAGGUGAAAAACUGGUUACAGAAACUCAGUGCAAAGCAAGGGCAAAUAAGCUUGUUUGCAAGCUAAAAGUCUUCUGUUGAUGCCAAAGAAAGAAAAUAGUACAUUAUGUAGCAGGAAUGGACAGAGAAAGAACCUGUGAAAUUUAUUUUUAUGGAAAUUCACUGAAGUGUUUUUGUACUUUUAUUGUAUAUUCUAUGAAAAAUAAUAUUUUCCUAAUUGACUCAAUAAUUUUAUAAAAAUUGGCAUCAUAUAUGGCUAAAGAACAAUUAAA